rnacentral:rRNA from 1 species
GACGAACGCUGGCGGCGUGCUUAACACAUGCAAGUCGAACGAAGAGCGACGGACGCUUGCUUCUAUCACUCUUAGUGGCGGACGGGUGAGUAACGCGUAAUCAACCUUCCCUUCAGGGGGGGACAACAGUUGGAAACGACUGCUAAUACCGCAUACGCUCUAACCUCGGCAUCGAGGAUAGAUGUAAGGUGGCCUCUACAUGUAAGCUAUCACUUAAGGUGGUUAUUGCGGCUGAUGAGCUAGUUGGAGGGGUAACGGCCCACCAAGGCGAGGUUGAGUAGCAGGUAUGAGAGGAUGAACGGCCAGAUUGAGACGGAGACACGGCCCAUAGGGCUACGGGAGGCAGCAGGGGGGAAUCUGGCGGAAGGGAUGGGAGACUGAGCGCGAAACGCGGAGGGAGGGAGGACGGCCGUCGGGUGGUAAAGCUCGGUUAAUCGGGACGAAAGGCCUUCUUGCGAAGAGUGAGAAGGAUUGACGGUAACGGAAGAGAAAGCCACGGCUAACUACGUG